AUGUCAUACAAUGUGCCUGAUGACUCUUUAAAAGACAUGGUUUUACAGGAACUACAUGAGUUGUUCUUAAAAAAUGGUCAUAGCCCAUCAAAUUACAACUUUCCUCCUCUUACUGGUAGCACUUCAAGUGCAUUUGAAAAUAGAUUGGUUGGUGAAGAACUGUCAUAUAAUGUACCGAAGCUAUUAGUUGAGAGCCCACGCCUGUAUGAACGUCUAAAUAAUGACCAACACACUGCUUACCAUCGUAUUGUCGAUAAUGUGACCAUUGGACCACCAGCUCUGUACUUUGUGUGUGGGUAUGGUGGAACUGGGAAAACCUUCCUAUGGACUUCUAUCACCGCAUACCUACGAUCCCAACAUUUGGUUGUUCUUACAUUUCAUCUUCCGGCGUCGCACCCUUGCUUCUUCCAGGUGGUAGAACAGCACAUUCACAAUUUAAAAUAUCGAUUGACAUAG
rnacentral:rRNA from 1 species